rnacentral:lncRNA from 1 species
AGAUUGUAAGAUAUAGAUAACUUAUUUCAUAUCAUUGUUACCAAGCAGUAUUAUGGAAAAUGAUUGAACUUUACCUCCUGCUGUUACAGAGAGAUAUUUGCCAUGGACUGCUGACUGAUGGGAAAAAGAAAUUCAAGGGAGGGAAACUAAAGACUAUCUCAUGUAAGUACCAGCAGAGAGAUAUGUGGGCUUUUGGAUGGCUCCUCUCUCCUUGCCUCCAUUUUCUAUGCAUCUGCAUUGAGGACUCCAUGGCAGAUCACACAAAGGAUUUCUCUGUAGGAGAAGGAAAGGUAAUGAUGUGUGUUUGUCUUACAGUGCACUCGCAUUUCAAACUCGUCUGCUGUUC